GAACAGGCCGGAAGAUGGACGCCGGGAUUAAUUUAAUUAACGAGUCUUUAAUUGCCAAACACAAACACACAGAGUGCUGAACAGAAAUGAAAACAAGCCGCGACCUUUUUCAGCCCGUAGUUUUAUACAGAAGCGGAGGAGACAGACACCUGACUGCCUACUGCCUAGAACUUCUCAAACCUGCCUCAGCAGCUAGUCAACCUUCCUAUAACCAUUACACACCUACAGCCAAGCAGCUUAACCAGCUCAGCUCACUCACCUGUGCUGCACUUUCCCCGGGAGUUUAAACCCGAUUUCAGUGCAAACACUGAGGCCCAUAAACAGGACAAACUCCGACACACCGGGACUAUUAAAUCAACUAAUAUUCACUUAACUUCCUGUAUCAUUAACUCCUAUAAAGUUGGCUAGUUAUGUUGCUAACCCAAGUUAAGGUAACUCAAUUGGCAUAUUAUUAUGAUUAUUACCACAAGAGUCCUGUUUUGCACUUAACAGAAAUCCGUUCCUUUGUCUAAAGAGAUUUCAACGUAUUAUGCAAUAUUUAAAUCCUCCCAGAGCGAACAUGUAUGAUAGCUAAGCUAAGCUAAGCUACCUUAAGCAGCAGGGGGCUUCAACCUCAUGGCCGACCGGCACAGCUAGAAAAACUACAGCUAUCAGAGACAAGCACCCCCUUUACCAGGUGAAUAAUCCUCAUCUCGGUUAAAUUCUCCCAGCAAAACGGUGACAAUGUUAUCGAAACGCGUAUUUGAUCGAAAUCUGCUGGACUCGCGUUAGCCUCGAACUGCUUGAGUGGAACCGACACAGCGCCGUCCCCGCGACUGAAGCGCGUUUUCCGCGUCGCCUGCAAACUCAACGCCGAGGCUCAGUUCAGGCCCGAAGGCCGCAAAUCACGAAAAUAAACAACAAGCGCUGUACUGACCAGAA